rnacentral:rRNA from 1 species
GACGAACGCUGGCGGCGUGCUUAACACAUGCAAGUCGAACGGAAAGGCCCUGCUUUUGUGGGGUGCUCGAGUGGCGAACGGGUGAGUAACACGUGAGUAACCUGCCCUUGACUUUGGGAUAACUUCAGGAAACUGGGGCUAAUACCGGAUAGGAGCUCCUGCUGCAUGGUGGGGGUUGGAAAGUUUCGGCGGUUGGGGAUGGACUCGCGGCUUAUCAGCUUGUUGGUGGGGUAGUGGCUUACCAAGGCUUUGACGGGUGGCCGGCCUGAGAGGGGGACCGGCCACACUGGAACUGAGACACGGUCCAGACGCCUACGGGAGGCAGCAGUAGGGAAUCGUCCGCAAUGGGCGAAAGCCUGACGGAGCAACGCCGCGUGAGUGAUGAAGGUCUUCGGAUCGUAAAACUCUGUUAUUAGGGAAGAAAAAAUGUGUAAGUAACUAUGCACGUCUUGACGGUACCUAAUCAGAAAGCCACGGCUAACUACGUG